AAUAAUUAGGCAAUACAAAUAAUAAUAAAAAGUACUUAAACGUAUAGUGAAUUAAUUUUGAUAACCGGAAGUACACUUUGUACAUUUUAGUUGUGUAAUGACCAAAAGUGGGAAUGGGGAUCGGAACAACAAGUGGCUCGUGAUUAUGUAAUUGACCAUUUGACAAAAGAACCUUUAUUAACCAUUUUUAAUCCAGAAUUACCGACGGAAUUACAUACUGAUGCAAGUUCAAUAGGCUAUGGCGCGAUACUUCUACA